ACUAUUGAUUUAUUUUCUUCACGUGGUCAAUUAACUAACCUGUAAUUCGAUAAGCACCCAAAACCACCGGGAGAACUAGAAAUGAAGAAGGGAAAGCGCCAACGGUUGUUUCCUGCGGCUUCCGACAAUAUGGCUAACGAAGAUUCUCAGUUCAUACUUCCCUGAUAAUUUCCAGAAGCCAAACAACUCUCAAAUUCCUUGGGCCAUCAUUGAGACCAAAAGAUUAAAAGGUGACAGAUGAAUGUUUUAUUUGAGUUCCCGUGAAUAGAAUCUAAAAUGUGGUAAAUAAGCGGCUGUACUAGCUUUGCAAUUUUUACUUCUGUACAUUGGGAUAUGUGCUUCUACUUCUUUGCAUGACUUUUAUGUGUUGCAUUCCUUUUGGCAAGGGAUGUUGGGCUAGGGGGUAGGAAAUGUCAGUAUUAAGCCUCCAGUACAGAGGUUCUUUGAAUGAUGAUAAUAAAAACACUAAGUCCAUGUUGAUCCAGAUAAAUCAGAAGACUUGAAAUGGUUACCAAGGUGAAAUAUAGGUGAAAAGUUAUGAACCAAGAGUGAUUUUUCUCAUCUGCUAGAUUUUGAGAUUGAUGGAUCAGCUUGUCUAUAGAAUUUAGGUCCAGCUAUCUGUGGGCUCAAGUUGAUGCUCCUUCACGGGCCAAAUAUGUCUAUUGUAUAAUAAGCUUGCAGCUGAUGUCUACUUUUGUUUUCUGGUCUCAAACACAAUGUAUUGAGGCAGAUUGCUUAGAACCUUUAGUGAAGUUGGUCAUAUAUCAGAAAUUUAUAGUAAGUGGACCAGGUUUGUUCCUGCUGUCUAGACUGUCUUUGAAAUGUAAAAUGGAUAAUUGAUGACUGAUAAGUAUUGUAUUGGACUUCCUGUAGACAGCAUGCAAAUUGUAGUAAAUAAAUGGCUUUGACUUGUGUUUUUAUUUCUGUA